AAGUAGAGUUUGGUGUGUGGUCAGACUGGAUGGCCACCCGGGGCCGAGAGUCUGGGCUGUCCUUCCACCAUGGCUUCUUAGAUCUCUUUGACUUCCUGCUUGGAUUCCCCACAGAGUGGAUUGUAUCUUGCUGAGGAGGCGGGGACAAGAGUCCCACAGGAUGUCCACAUGGUGGUGCUGUCGUGUCUCAUUUUGAGACUUGUCAGUGAAUGAAGGCUCGGACACCUCCUGAGGCUGUGGGCUGUUGAGUCAGUGUUUAACCACUAUAAUUGGGAGAAACGUCUUCCAACUGUCUAACCCAGACGAGACAGACGCUGCAGAUUCCACCCCCUUGCUCGUGGGCUGCCCUCUGCAGAAUGUAGAAAACAAGGACAAGUCAUAAAGAGCUCCCUACUCCCCAGGCUCCCGAAAAUCCUCUAUAAAACCAACAUAAGUAAAAGGC